AGACAGUUAACUCAGUUGGCUAGAGUGGUUGGUUUACAUCCAAUAAGUCGUAGGUUCGAGUCCUAUACUGUCUA
rnacentral:tRNA from 1 species